rnacentral:rRNA from 1 species
GGGUCAGCAGGUUGGUCGUGCCACUGGUAUGCACUGGCUUCGCUGAUUCCUCCUUUCUGAAGAACUGUAAUGUCAUUAAUUUGGUGUUGCAGGGAAACAGGACUGUUACUUUGAAAAAAUUAGAGUGUUUAAAGCAGGCUAACGCUUGAAUACAUUAGCAUGGAAUAAUGAAAUAGGACGUUCGAUCCUAUUUUGUUGGUUUCUAGGAUUGACGUA